rnacentral:rRNA from 1 species
UUGAGCGAGAGGAGUUCCUUCGGGAACAAUCUAGCGGCGGACGGGUGAGUAACACGUGGGCAACCUGCCUUGUAGAGGGGAAUAGCCUUCCGAAAGGAAGAUUAAUACCGCAUAACAUUACAUUUUCGCAUGAAGAAGUAAUUAAAGGAGCAAUCCGCUACAAGAUGGGCCCGCGGCGCAUUAGCUAGUUGGUGAGGUAACGGCUCACCAAGGCGACGAUGCGUAGCCGACCUGAGAGGGUGAUCGGCCACAUUGGGACUGAGACACGGCCCAGACUCCUACGGGAGGCAGCAGUGGGGAAUAUUGCACAAUGGGGGAAACCCUGAUGCAGCAACGCCGCGUGAGUGAUGAAGGUUUUCGGAUCGUAAAGCUCUGUCUUCAGGGACGAUAAUGACGGUACCUGAGGAGGAAGCCACGGCUAACUACGUGCCAGCAGCCGCGGUAAUACGUAGGUGGCGAACGUUGUCCGGAUUUACUGGGCGUAAAGGGAGCGUAGGCGGAUUUUUAAGUGAGAUGUGAAAUACCCGGGCUCAACUUGGGUGCUGCAUUUCAAACUGGAAGUCUAGAGUGCAGGAGAGGAGAGUGGAAUUCCUAGUGUAGCGGUGAAAUGCGUAGAGAUUAGGAAGAACACCAGUGGCGAAGGCGACUCUCUGGACUGUAACUGACGCUGACGCUCGAAAGCGUGGGGAGCAAACAGGA